AAGGUUUUAAGUUAAACAAACUAAUAGCCUUCAAAGCUAUAAAUAAAGAUCACUUUUUAAGCCUUA
rnacentral:tRNA from 1 species